AGUGAACGCUGGCGGUAGGCCUAACACAUGCAAGUCGAACGGCAGCACAGUAAGAGCUUGCUCUUACGGGUGGCGAGUGGCGGACGGGUGAGGAAUACAUCGGAAUCUACUUUUUCGUGGGGGAUAACGUAGGGAAACUUACGCUAAUACCGCAUACGACCUACGGGUGAAAGCAGGGGAUCUUCGGACCUUGCGCGAUUGAAUGAGCCGAUGUCGGAUUAGCUAGUUGGCGGGGUAAAGGCCCACCAAGGCGACGAUCCGUAGCUGGUCUGAGAGGAUGAUCAGCCACACUGGAACUGAGACACGGUCCAGACUCCUACGGGAGGCAGCAGUGGGGAAUAUUGGACAAUGGGCGCAAGCCUGAUCCAGCAAUACCGCGUGGGUGAAGAAGGCCUUCGGGUUGUAAAGCCCUUUUGUUGGGAAAGAAAAGAAGCAGGUUAAUACCCCGCUGUUCUGACGGUACCCAAAGAAUAAGCACCGGCUAACUUCGUG
rnacentral:rRNA from 1 species